rnacentral:rRNA from 1 species
UACAGAGGGUGCGAACGUUGCUCGGAAUUACUGGGCGUAAAGCGCAUGUAGGCGGAUCCAUAAGUCGGGCGUGAAAUCCCCAGGCUCAACCUGGGAACUGCGCUCGAAACUGUAGGUCUUGAGUGUCGGAGAGGAUGGCGGAAUUCCUGGUGUAGAGGUGAAAUUCGUAGAUAUCAGGAGGAACACCGGUGGCGAAGGCGGCCAUCUGGACGACAACUGACGCUGAGAUGCGAAAGCGUGGGGAGCAAACAGG